rnacentral:rRNA from 1 species
CGUAGGGACCGAGCGUUGUCCGGAUUCAUUGGGCGUAAAGAGCUCGUAGGCGGCUGUUCAAGUCGAACGUGAAAACUCGGGGCUCAACUCCGAGCCUGCGUUCGAUACUGGAUGGCUAGAGUCUGGUAGGGGGAUCUGGAAUUCCUGGUGUAGCGGUGGAAUGCGCAGAUAUCAGGAGGAACACCGGUGGCGAAGGCGGGAUCCUGGGCCAGUACUGACGCUGAGGAGCGAAAGCGUGGGGAGCAAACAGGAUUAGAUACCCUGGUAGUCCACGCCGUAAACGAUGGGCGCUAGGUGUGGGAGGUCAUCGGCUCCUUCCGUGCCGCAGCUAACGCAUUAAGCGCCCCGCCUGGGGAGUACGGCCGCAAGGCUA